AACGAACGCUGGCGGCGUGCCUAAUACAUGCAAGUUGAGCGCUGAAGGUUGGUACUUGUACCAACUGGAUGAGCAGCGAACGGGUGAGUAACGCGUGGGGAAUCUGCCUUUGAGCGGGGGACAACAUUUGGAAACGAAUGCUAAUACCGCAUAAAAACUUUAAACACAAGUUUUAAGUUUGAAAGAUGCAAUUGCAUCACUCAAAGAUGAUCCCGCGUUGUAUUAGCUAGUUGGUGAGGUAAAGGCUCACCAAGGCGAUGAUACAUAGCCGACCUGAGGGGGUGAUCGGCCACAUUGGGACUGAGACACGGCCCAAACUCCUACGGGAGGCAGCAGUAGGGAAUCUUCGGCAAUGGACGAAAGUCUGACCGAGCAACGCCGCGUGAGUGAAGAAGGUUUUCGGAUCGUAAAACUCUGUUGGUAGAGAAGAACGUUGGUGAGAGUGGAAAGCUCAUCAAGUGACGGUAACUACCCAGAAAGGGACGGCUAACUACGUG
rnacentral:rRNA from 1 species